CCAAUAGCAUAUAUUAAAGUUGUUGCGGUUAAAACGCCCGUAGUUGGAUCAGCGGAUUUGGAGAACGGUCUGCCGAUGGGCUGUACUGUUCUCCUGUCCUAUUUUCUCUAGUUCGCUCUAGGUGCUCUUCACUGAGUGUCUAGAGUGGCUGGAACUUUUACUUUGAAAAAAUUAGAGUGCUCAAAGCAGGCGUCUCAGCCUGAAUAGUGGUGCAUGGAAUAAUGGAAUAGGACCUCAGUUCUAUUUUGUUGGUUUCCGGAACAUGAGGUAAUGAUUAAGAGGGACAGACGGGGGCAUCCGUAUUGCGACGUUAGGGGUGAAAUUCUUGGAUCGUCGCAAGACGAACUACUGCGAAAGCAUUUGCCAAGAAUGUUUUCAUUAAUCAAGGACGAUAGUUAGAGGUUCGAAGGCGAUCAGAUACCGCCCUAGUUCUAACCGUAAACGAUGUCAACCAGCGAUCCGCAGGAGUUAUUCAUGACUCUGCGGGCAGCUUCCGGGAAACCAAAGUUUUUGGAUUCCGGGGGGAGUAUGGUUGCAAAGCUGAAACUUAAAGGAAUUGACGGAAGGGCACCACCAGGAGUGGAGCCUGCGGCUUAAUUUGACUCAACGCGGGGAAACUCACCCGGCCCGGACACCGUAAGGAUUGACAGAUUGAGAGCUCUUUCUUGAUUCGGUGGGGGGGGGGGGGUGGCCGUUCUUAGUUGGUGGAGCGAUUUGUCUGGUUAAUUCCGAUAACGAACGAGACUCUAGCCUACUAAAUAGAAGGCAAAUUAUUCGUUUGCUGUACUUCU
rnacentral:rRNA from 1 species